UUAUUUGAGUAGUUUGAUCCUGGCUCAGGACGAACGCUGGCGGCGUGCCUAAUACAUGCAAGUUGAGCGAUGAAGAUUGGUGCUUGCACCAAUUGAAGAGCAGCGAACGGGUGAGU
rnacentral:rRNA from 1 species